GUAUUUUUUGUAUAGUGACUUUUUCAUGUAAACUAACGGACUUUAAAAAUUCUCUACAGUAUUUCCUUUUAUUUUUCAUAUCUGUCAGGAUUGGCUGCCUAAAGGACGCCAUCCGUCUGUAAGAACAGAAUGGCAACUUAACGGGAGGAGCAAAUUUUACCCACAAACAGCAAUUCCUCCUUUAGGCAAAGUGAGUUCCAAUAAGGGUGAUUGGAAAAUGAACCCAAGCGCGCUUAAAAGUAACAAUAGUAAUUAUACAGACAUGCCUCUCCUAACAGGACCUGCUGAGAAAAGACGAAGGCGUGGCUAGAGUGAGAACUCCGUUGCGUUUGCUCAGUAUUGGUUUUAGGUUGGUGCUCGAGACUCGGGAGUGCGCUUGCGCCUGGCGGGGGUGGAGUUUAGGCUGUGUGGAACGCUGGCGGUCUUGGUCGCUUCUCCCGCGCAUUUCCAGAGAAAGUGGGCCAUUUUGACAGGUGGUAACGAAUCUCCGAGGAUGUUUAUCCAAGGCCAAGGAGUAAUUUCAGGGCUUUAGGAGAGCCACCCACACUGACCCUGGAACUUUCUACGUCAACAAAAAUGAUAACCGGAGCAGGACCUUAAACAACUUGCACCUCAGAGGCAUGGGACUGCACUUUACUUCAAAGGAGAUACCUCAGUAUGUAUAUGACCAUGGGAUCCCAGCUUAUAUCACAUUCUACACCAUUCAGAAGCUGCUGGUAUGAUGGAAUAAUGGGGAAGUCUAUUGAAUGAAAAGCCUGUAGAAGGCAUUGCUGAAGAGGCAGAUCAGAGGUAAUACCCUGUGAAUUUGGUUGCCAUCCUCUAAGAGAUCAGUGAUAUGGUCCUCAGUAGGUUGAAUAUAUAGGCCCAGAAAUCAAGGAAUGGACACAGUAUUGGCUCUACCCACUGUCAUUCCCAAUAAUAUGCUUGUGGAAUUUCCAUCUCAGCAACUCUGGGCUCUGAGGGUUUAGGAGUUUUGGUUUUCAAUGGGGAAUAUUUCUGCCAAGGGACACAGCCAGAGUUCAAAUGAAUAAUUAGCUGUGGCUGCUACCUGCUCUUCAGACUACUUGUUGCAAGAAGACAUGGCAUGGGAAACCAUUGAGACCUUGAGGCAAGUAUCUGGAUCAUGCCACCAGACAAGUCAUGGAGAUCAGCAGGCAUGCCAACUGAAGGCACUGUUACUGGAGAGCUUUCCACCACUCUGGUUGAUGCCAAAGAUACAUUUCACUAAAAUUGUAAUUACAACUCUGUACCUUUGCCCGGUAAAAUGGAAAACAUAGAAAAUAUGCGGAGUUUCAACAUCCACUGUAGAGAGAACGUUCUGGCUGAGAGAGGAGUACAACUGCACAAGGUAGGUAACAAUGUUUUUGGCGUUUUUCUCAGCUCUACAUACUGCUUCAAAAGAGAAAAAAAGCUAGAACUGGAAAAAGGAGGCAGGAAGGAGAGGUACAAGGAGUCUGAGUUAGGACAGGGGAGUGUAUUCAGUGAAACUGAAGUCUUAAAUUUGAGUAGAAUCAGAACCUUACAGAUUCUGGCUUAGGUUAUUUUAAGGGGUGGGAAAGGGAGAUUCAAAAGGGUGGUUAUUUAAGACAAUAAAACCAUUCCAUAGUUGGAUUUCACUGAAUUAAGAUUGUUCAACUUGCCUGUCAACACUUGUAUGCCAUGAAAUUCUGCUAUAGGCAUUGUGUAGGCUAUUGUUUUUAUUUAUCCUUUGGUAUGACUGAUAAAUUUAUGAUUAGAAACCAUAGGAGACUUUUUAAUAGUUUUCAGUUAAAUCUCAGAACAGAUCACGGAGUACAUAAUUCUUAAGACACCAGGAAGCGUUUAACAACUUGAGUACUAAUGAUUAUCUUUGAAAUGGGAAUAUAAAUUUUACUCAGACUUAAGAAUUAUAUUUAUGUUGUUAAGUCCGAUGAACUCAGAUAUUAAGCGCUCAUUUUUCAAAGAUAUGAGAAAGUAAAUACUUAUUGUUUUGGCAUUUUUGUCUACAUACCCAGAAUUUUCAAAAAUCCUUUAUGGUGUGCCAUUAUUCCCUCAGAAGCACUGCCCUGUCCCCAGCGCAGAGGUAGGUUGAGCCUCAGAGUACUUUUGGGUCCUGGUUUUAAGUAAGGAAAGACUGCUAAAAUGUUGACACAAUAUUUGCUUCUUAUGCAACAGGACUGGGGCUGGUUUAUGCAUUGUUAGGCCUGGCCAUUUUUUUCCUGGCUUUCCCCCUUCUCCUUAGCUCUGCUGGGAGAAUUGCAGAGUCUUGGUAAAAGUGAAGGGGGUGAUCCAUGCACCCAGUGUCUUUCUGCCUCCUGCUCUGAGACUUUACUGUAUCCUCCCUUUUGGUGAAAAUUCUACAUGUUCCCUCUUAUAGGGCUUUUUUUUUUUUUUUGGUAGUGAAAAGGAUGUUGACACUAUCCACUUUUUCUUAUUAAUUUACCAUGUGACACAAGCCAUGCUUCUGGAGUCCUUGACAAAGUGAAUAGUGAAGAGGGAGAAAAAGUGGAGGAAAAUGUCUGACGAUGAAAGUAAAAUGAAAAAAAAAAGAGUAAAGUAAAAA